CAGGUAGCUUUGAACACAUGGUAAGGAAAUACAUUCAUCUUUUCACUGAGAACUGCUCACCUAAUUGCUUGGUACAGUCAUGUUCAAUGAUAUGUAGUUGAUUAAAAAAUGACAAAUACUGUGACCAGCUGCCCUUUUGAUGUCAAAUAAUGUGGAAGAUUGAACACCAUGCUGAUCCAUUAGCCAUUUCCAGGAAACAUUGCAGCGUUAUAAGAGAAAUUAUAGACUAUUUGUUGAAGCUCAGCAUGUCCAUCUCCCUGCUUUGAAGAAGGAUGUUGGGAACUGACUGUAAGGAAGACAGGAUUGGAGAACCAGGUUUAGAAGAGAAAAGGCAGUGCCAGAAGUUUUUGAUUGGAGAAAACUACAGGGUAAUGUUGCACAAGAACCAUUGCUGGACUGCAUCAUUGCUUACCCAACAUGACUCAGCCUCGGUAUUGCCACUGACUCACGGAGCUCCUAAUAGAGGAGAAUUAGUGUCACAGAUCGACUGGAAAACCAAUCCACAUGAAGCCAGGAAGAGAAAUGAAGCUGCUGUUGCUGAAUCCAUAGCUGGCCUUAAUGAUGCUGGCUAGGAAAGACGGCCCAUUCUGGGGGAGAUAAGUCAAUUUUGCAGUGUCUGUUAUUAUCAUAGUGACUAUUGUCUUCCUGUUUUAUAUUUAUUUACCUAAAUUGUUUUGGAAAGACUCAGAGGUAUAGAGACAUGCCUACUUUUUGCAAAAAUCAUCACACUGUCAUGGAGGUAGUCCAGGCUAUGGGGCUCUUAUUUGUUGGUGUCUUGGGCAAGUUGCUUGACCUCUGAUCAUUGUUUGCUUAUUCUUAUAUGGCCCCUGUAUUUCAGACUCACUCUGUGUCAGGCAUUUGUUUACCUUUGUAGCAAGCUCAGGAGGAAAAUACCAUUGCCCUUGUUUUACAGGUGAUGAAACUGUACGUUUUCCAAGGACACAGUGCUAGUAAGUAAUGAAUGUGAAAUUUUAACUGUUUCAAUCUCUUCUCAGAGCCAGUGCUAACUACUCUCCUAAACUUCCUCUCAUCUGUAAAAUAUGGAUGAUAAUAACACCUCUUACAGAGUUGUUGUACAUAUUAAAUAAUAGAACUGUGAAAUGUGUAGUACUUCAUUACGCAUUAGGCAAUCAAUAAAUGGUUGAUAGUAUUACUAAAAAUAAUGAAGAAAAAUCUUCACUAAAGCAUCCAUAGCAGGAAGUCCUUGCUAGAACAUAACCCUUUGUCCUUUCAGUGUAAAUUAGUGUGAUGUUACCAGCACUUACAGCAGAUGGUAAGGAACACAAUACAAAGGAAUGAAUCUCUAGUAGUGAAAUGUCAGAUACUAUAACAUUUGGAUGGAAAACAAGCUUUUGUACAUGUUUGAAUCAUCUUGCUAACUACCGUAUCAUUUCAUGUUGAC
rnacentral:lncRNA from 1 species